rnacentral:rRNA from 1 species
CCAAUAGCGUAUAUUAAAGUUGUUGCAGUUAAAAAGCUCGUAGUUGAAUUUCGGGGUUAGUAGGUUGGUCAUGCCUCUGGUAUGUACUGGUCUCACUGAUUCCUCCUUCCUGAUGAGCCGUAAUGCCAUUAAUUUGGUGUUGCGGGGAAUUUGGACUGUUACUUUGAAAAAAUUAGAGUGUUUAAAGCAAGCUAACGCUUGAAUACAUUAGCAUGGAAUAAUGAAAUAGGACGUUCGAUCCUAUUUUGUUGGUUUCUAGGAUUGACGUAAUGAUUAAUAGGGAUAGUUGGGGGCAUUAGUAUUCAGUUGUCAGAGGUGAAAUUCUUGGAUUUAUUGAAGACUAACUACUGCGAAAGCAUUUGCCAAGGAUGUUUUCAUUAAUCAAGAACGAAAGUUAGGGGAUCGAAGACGAUCAGAUACCGUCGUAGUCUUAACCAUAAACUAUGCCGACUAGGGAUCGGAUGAUGUUAAAUUAAUGACUCAUUCGGCACCUUACG